AGACAGAGACAGAGACAGAGACAGAGACAGACAGAGACAGAGACAGAGACAGAGACAGAGACAGAGACAGAGACAGAGACAGAGACAGAGACAGAGACAGAGACAGAGACAGAGACAGAGACAGAGACAGAGACAGAGACAGACAGAGACAGAGACAGAGACAGAGACAGAGACAGAGACAGAGACAGAGACAGAGACAGAGACAGAGACAGAGACAGAGACAGAGACAGAGACAGAGAGAGAGAGAGACAGAGAGAGAGAGAGACAGAGAGAGAGAGAGACAGAGAGAGAGAGAGAGAGAGAGAGAGA